rnacentral:rRNA from 1 species
AGCAGCCGCGGUAAUUCCAGCUCCAAUAGCGUAUAUUAAAGUUGUUGCAGUUAAAAAGCUCGUAGUUGAAUUUCGGGAUCAGUUCGCUGGUCGUGCCUCUGGUAUGUACUGGUGUUACUGGUUCCUCCCUUCUGACGAACUGUCAUGUCAUUUGUUUGGUGUGGCAGGGAAUCAGGACUGUUACUUUGAAAAAAUUAGAGUGUUUAAAGCAGGCUCGCGCUUGAAUACAUUAGCAUGGAAUAAUGAAAUAGGACGUUCGAUCCUAUUUUGUUGGUUUCUAGGAUUGACGUA